CACGUAGGAGGCAAGCGUUAUCCGGAUUUACUGGGCGUAAAGCGCGUGUAGGCGGUUUGGUAAGUUGGAUGUGAAAUCUCCUGGCUCAACUGGGAGAGGUCGUUCAAUACUGCCAGACUAGAGGACGGUAGAGGAAGGUAGAAUUCCCGGUGUAGUGGUGAAAUGCGUAGAUAUCGGGAGGAAUACCAGUGGCGAAGGCGGCCUUCUGGGCCGUUCCUGACGCUCAGACGCGAAAGCGUGGGUAGCGAACGGG
rnacentral:rRNA from 1 species